rnacentral:rRNA from 1 species
GACGAACGCUGGCGGCGUGCUUAACACAUGCAAGUCGAACGGUGAAGCGCCUUCCUUUUUGGUGGGUGUGGAUGAGUGGCGAACGGGUGAGUAACACGUGAGUAACCUGCCCCCUUCUUCUGGAUAACCGCAUGAAAGUGUGGCUAAUACGGGAUAUUCUGGGUCUGUCGCAUGAUGGGUCUGGGAAAGAUAUUGUUUCGGUGGGGGAUGGGCUCGCGGCCUAUCAGCUUGUUGGUGGGGUGAUGGCCUACCAAGGCGGUGACGGGUAGCCGGCCUGAGAGGGUGGACGGCCACACUGGGAAUGAGACACGGCCAAGACUACUACGGGAGGCAGCAGUGGGGAAUAUUGCACAAUGGGAGCAAGCCUGAUGCAGCGACGCCGCGUGAGGGAUGGAGGCCUUCGGGUUGUGAACCUCUUUCGCCAGUGAAGCAGGCCUGCCUCGUUUGUGGGUGGGUUGACGGUAGCUGGAUAAGAAGCGCCGGCUAACUACGUG